rnacentral:rRNA from 1 species
ACGCUCGACACCUACGAGAGGCAGCAGUUGGGAAUAUUGGACAAUGGAGGAAACUCUGAUCCAGUGACGCCGCGUGAAGGAAGAAGGUCUUCGGAUUGUAAACUUAUUUUGUCAGGGAAGAAAAAAUGACUGUACCUGAAGAAAAAGCACCGGCUAACUACGUGCAGCAGCCGCGGUAAUCUGAGCGGGCUGGCAAGGC